AGAGAUUGGAGAGAGACAGGAGAGAGACAUGUUUUCAUCUAUCCUUUGUGGACUUCUGUUGUUUUUACUGCUGUGAAAUUUGACUUGCGAUAUCUGCUUGUAAAACAUCAUCAAAUCCAAAUUCAUUAUAUUCCACUUUUUCUAUUACAUGGUUUCUGCUUCACUGAUUCAUAUCUGUUUUACCUAUUCUGUAAGGGAGGAGAAGCUGCAAAGCAAUGAAGAGAAAAGCUGAAGUCAGUGAUUAGGAGUGUCUGUGUAAGUAAAAGCAACAGGCAAUUACUGAGUGUGGUGUGAGAGGCACGGAAAGAUUGGGAAUUCAGCAAGAAGAGGAAUUGAAGUCAAACCUCACCUACUUCCCAGAGUCUUCUGGAUUUUCUGUUAGAAGCUUCAGUAUCUGAGAUAUUCCUAUGCAUUCUACUGCUUUAAUCCCACCUAAGUAGAGAUGUCCACAACAGAGAGAAUGGAGCUGUCACAUCGUUUCAACUGCCCAGGUAGUUCCUACUGGAUGAAUGGGAUUGUCACCUUCACACCUGCUAGAGGCUUGGAGCAUGCAAGAGUUUUUUUAAAUGGCUUCACCUUUCUUAUGAAAAUGCAACCACUAGUACUCUUCCAAUAAAAGCUUUUCUCAAGUAAUCCCACCCAUCCUAAGGCAUUACAUUUAGUCAUCAUAGCUCUUUCUUCACAGAAUUAGAAAAAACUACUUUAAAUUUCAUAUGGAACCAAAAAAGAGCCCAUAUAGCCAAGAAAAUCUUAAGCAAAAAGAACAAAGAUGGAGGCAUCAUGCUAACUGACUUCAAACUAUACUACAAGGCUACAGUAACCAAAACAGCAUGGUACUGGUGCCAAAACAGAUAUAUAGACCAAUGGAAUAGAACAGAGGCCUCAGAAAAACGUCACCCAUCUACAACCAUCUGAUCUUCAACAAAUCUGACAAAAACAAAUAAUGGGGAAGAAAUUCUGUAUUUAAUAAAUGAUCUUGGGAAAACUGGCUAGCCACAUGCAGAAAACUGAAGCUGGGCUCCUUCCUUACACCUUAUACAAAAAUUAACUCAAGAUGGAUUAAAGACUUAAACGUAAGACCUAAAACCAUAGAAACCCUAGAAGAAUACCUAGGCAAUACCAUUGAGGACACAGACAUGGGCAAAUGACUAAAGCAACAAAAGCCAAAAUUGACAAAUGGGAGCUAAUUAAACUAAAGAGCUUCUGAACAGCAAAAGAAACUAUCAUCAGAGUGAACAGGCAACCUACAGAAUGGGAGAAAAUUUUUGCAAUCUAUCCACCUGACAAAGGGCUAAUAUCCAGAAUCUACAAAUAACUUAAACAAAUUUACAAGAAAAAAAACAAACAACCCCAUCAAGAAGUGGGUGAAGGAUAUGAAAAGACACUUCUCAAAAGAAGACAUUUAUGUGGCCAACAAACAUGAAAAAAAGCUCAUCAUCACUGGGCAUUAGAGAAAUGCAAAUCAAAACCACAAUGAGAUACCAUCUCACGCCAGUUAGAAUGGCGAUCUUUAAAAAGUCAGGAAACAACAGAUGCUGGAGAGGAUGUGGAGAGAUAGGAAUGCUUUUACACUGUUGGUAGGAGUGUAAAUUAGUUCAGCAAUUGUGGAAGACUGUGUGGAGAUUCCUCAAGGAUCUAGAACCAGAAAUGCCAUUUGACCGAGCAAUCCCAUUACUGGCUAUAUACCCAAAGGAUUAUAAAUCAUUCUACUAUAGAGACACAUCCACCUGUAUGUUGAUUGCAGCACUGUUCACAAUAGCAAAGACUUGGAACCAAUGCAAAUGCCCAUCAAUGAUCGGCUGGAUAAAGAAAAUGUGGCACAUAUACACCGUGAAAUACUAUGUAGCCAUAAAAAAGGAUGAGUUCAUGUCCUUUGCAGGGAUAUGGAUGAAGCUGGAAACCAUCAUUCUCUGCAAACUAAUACAGGAACAGAAUGCCAAACACCACAUGUUCUCACUCAUAAGUGGGAGUUGAACAAUGAGAACACAUGAAUACCGGGAGGG
ensembl:lncRNA LINC02268 long intergenic non-protein coding RNA 2268